CUACUGUGAUGACUUUAAGAAUUCUCUCUUCCUGAAUUACUUUUGAAGUAACUGUUCUUAACUGAGUAGC